rnacentral:sRNA from 1 species
GUCAUGAAUAUCGGAAUAGACUAUAAAAACCGUUCACGGAUACUACGGAACGAGGGGAGGCCUUUUUCUCUUCUAUUUUUCUUUUUUUUCCCUCCUUUUUUUGUAUUGUAUGCAUGUUUUUGACGACAUGCAAUGACGAUUCCGGUUUUGGUGUAUGUGUGUGGGUGGUCUUUUCGCUCCGUCGUUCUGGGCUUCUUCCUUCUUGCCUCUUCUUACGACUUAGCUGCACAUUCUGAUGACUCGCAUUCUAACGUAACGAAUUUUUUUUUUUAUCUUUUCUUUUUUAACACAAAUAGGACCCUUCCUUAGUCAAUAACAACGACAUCAACAACAUCAACAACAACAAUGAUAUCCACAUGGCAAAAACCUGCACAAAUCACCUACGGUUGGAUACGGAUAGUCUCCGGUGCCACCCCCGCAUUCGCCAGAACCACUCUCCGCGCCUCUGGGCCAUUCCCGAUAUUUACAGGGAGGAGAGACGAACCUCCUCAGGCGAAGAUCCCAGUGUAAAACCGGGCUUCCUCUCCUUACUUCAACUGCAGCGUCGGACGGGGACCGGGAGAGUCUCUCUCUCUUCCCCUGAGCCAUAAGAUCAUGUUACAGGCAGGCAUCACCAUUCGGUGAUGAUUUUUAUUUUUUAUUUUUUUUUUAAAUUUUAAUUUUUCGUUCUCAUUUGUUGGGACAUGCAAGGAAGG